rnacentral:rRNA from 1 species
GUGUGACUGCGUACCUUUUGUAUAAUGGGUCAGCGACUUAUAUUCUGUAGCAAGGUUAACCGAAUAGGGGAGCCGAAGGGAAACCGAGUCUUAACUGGGCGUUAAGUUGCAGGGUAUAGACCCGAAACCCGGUGAUCUAGCCAUGGGCAGGUUGAAGGUUGGGUAACACUAACUGGAGGACCGAACCGACUAAUGUUGAAAAAUUAGCGGAUGACUUGUGGCUGGGGGUGAAAGGCCAAUCAAACCGGGAGAUAGCUGGUUCUCCCCGAAAGCUAUUUAGGUAGCGCCUCGUGAAUUCAUCUCCGGGGGUAGAGCACUGUUUCGGCAAGGGGGUCAUCCCGACUUACCAACCCGAUGCAAACUGCGAAUACCGGAGAAUGUUAUCACGGGAGACACACGGCGGGUGCUAACGUCCGUCGUGAAGAGGGAAACAACCCAGACCGCCAGCUAAGGUCCCAAAGUCAUGGUUAAGUGGGAAACGAUGUGGGAAGGCCCAGACAGCCAGGAUGUUGGCUUAGAAGCAGCCAUCAUUUAAAGAAAGCGUAAUAGCUCACUGGUCGAGUCGGCCUGCGCGGAAGAUGUAACGGGGCUAAACCAUGCACCGAAGCUGCGGCAGCGACGCUUAUGCGUUGUUGGGUAGGGGAGCGUUCUGUAAGCCUGCGAAGGUGUGCUGUGAGGCAUGCUGGAGGUAUCAGAAGUGCGAAUGCUGACAUAAGUAACGAUAAAGCGGGUGAAAAGCCCGCUCGCCGGAAGACCAAGGGUUCCUGUCCAACGUUAAUCGGGGCAGGGUGAGUCGACCCCUAAGGCGAGGCCGAAAGGCGUAGUCGAUGGGAAACAGGUUAAUAUUCCUGUACUUGGUGUUACUGCGAAGGGGGGACGGAGAAGGCUAUGUUGGCCGGGCGACGGUUGUCCCGGUUUAAGCGUGUAGGCUGGUUUUCCAGGCAAAUCCGGAAAAUCAAGGCUGAGGCGUGAUGACGAGGCACUACGGUGCUGAAGCAACAAAUGCCCUGCUUCCAGGAAAAGCCUCUAAGCAUCAGGUAACAUCAAAUCGUACCCCAAACCGACACAGGUGGUCAGGUAGAGAAUACCAAGGCGCUUGAGAGAACUCGGGUGAAGGAACUAGGCAAAAUGGUGCCGUAACUUCGGGAGAAGGCACGCUGAUAUGUAGGUGAAGUCCCUCGCGGAUGGAGCUGAAAUCAGUCGAAGAUACCAGCUGGCUGCAACUGUUUAUUAAAAACACAGCACUGUGCAAACACGAAAGUGGACGUAUACGGUGUGACGCCUGCCCGGUGCCGGAAGGUUAAUUGAUGGGGUUAGCGCAAGCGAAGCUCUUGAUCGAAGCCCCGGUAAACGGCGGCCGUAACUAUAACGGUCCUAAGGUAGCGAAAUUCCUUGUCGGGUAAGUUCCGACCUGCACGAAUGGCGUAAUGAUGGCCAGGCUGUCUCCACCCGAGACUCAGUGAAAUUGAACUCGCUGUGAAGAUGCAGUGUACCCGCGGCAAGACGGAAAGACCCCGUGAACCUUUACUAUAGCUUGACACUGAACAUUGAGCCUUGAUGUGUAGGAUAGGUGGGAGGCUUUGAAGUGUGGACGCCAGUCUGCAUGGAGCCGACCUUGAAAUACCACCCUUUAAUGUUUGAUGUUCUAACGUGGACCCGUAAUCCGGGUUGCGGACAGUGUCUGGUGGGUAGUUUGACUGGGGCGGUCUCCUCCUAAAGAGUAACGGAGGAGCACGAAGGUUGGCUAAUCCUGGUCGGACAUCAGGAGGUUAGUGCAAUGGCAUAAGCCAGCUUGACUGCGAGCGUGACGGCGCGAGCAGGUGCGAAAGCAGGUCAUAGUGAUCCGGUGGUUCUGAAUGGAAGGGCCAUCGCUCAACGGAUAAAAGGUACUCCGGGGAUAACAGGCUGAUACCGCCCAAGAGUUCAUAUCGACGGCGGUGUUUGGCACCUCGAUGUCGGCUCAUCACAUCCUGGGGCUGAAGUAGGUCCCAAGGGUAUGGCUGUUCGCCAUUUAAAGUGGUACGCGAGCUGGGUUUAGAACGUCGUGAGACAGUUCGGUCCCUAUCUGCCGUGGGCGCUGGAGAANNNNNNNNNNNNNNNNUGAGGGGGGCUGCUCCUAGUACGAGAGGACCGGAGUGGACGCAUCACUGGUGUUCGGGUUGUCAUGCCAAUGGCACUGCCCGGUAGCUAAAUGCGGAAGAGAUAAGUGCUGAAAGCAUCUAAGCACGAAACUUGCCCCGAGAUGAGUUCUCCCUGACUCCUUGAGAGUCCUGAAGGAACGUUGAAGACGACGACGUUGAUAGGCCGGGUGUGUAAGCGCAGCGAUGCGUUGAGCUAACCGGUACUAAUGAACCGUGAGGCUUAACCUU